GCCAAGCUUUCUCUCAUUUUUUCUUGUCAUGGCUGAAAUUAGAGAGUAGAGAAAAUUUCUUCAAGUUCCAUCUUGAUUUUGUGGGGAAAUCAACCUUAAACCCUAAAUCCAUCCAUAGAAGGAUGCAACAAGGAAGGAAGAAGCUUGGUGUGGUGUCAUUUUGAGGGAAGAAAGCUGUGAUUUGCUACUCUCCUUAGGAAUUGAAGGUAAUCUUGGGUUUAACGGUGGAAACUAGCACGACUCGGAGUCGAACGUUUAGCUUUGGUCUGCUUUAAAAGGAAGUGGAGGUCUGGAGCAACUAAGCGUGAUCUAGUGUGUAUAAGUUCCUUGUACUUGUACUUUUAUGGAUUUAAUAUAUUUGGGAUAUUUGGCAAUGUAAAGCUACAUUUCACUUUUGACUUGUAAAUGAAGUUGAAUUAUGGUUGAUUUGAGAACCUUACUAUUUUCGAGAAUGCUAGUGAGUGAGUCCCGGUGAGAGUUGGACAGACGGUCCAUCAAACCCUUGGAUUCACUCUAAGGAGAGGUGGGAUCAUCACAUAAACUGAAAAAGUUUCAAUCAUAGUUUUGAACACCUCACAUUCAUCGUAAAUACAA